AGACGCCUGUGUCGCUGCAGUUCGGCACGAGCGCCGAUCUUGGCCAGCUGCAAGACUUUGCAGCUAGGCACAUAACCUUAUUUAUUAUAACCAACUAAUAUGUAAUUUUUUCGCUUGUAUUUUUGAGUAGUUGUUUGAAAACGAGCCCUCGAUGACUUCUACGAAGAUUGGGAAACGGUUUCGUUAAGUUACCACAAAGAAACAACUACAUCAAACCGGUCCGGUUCCCACCGGGAUAUCUGCGUCUUAAGACCUGGAGAAACACGUAUCCCUCGUGCGAGGAGAUGGACCUCUGAUCAAGGUUAUCCCUGGACCGGUUCGAAGUUAAUUCGUCCAAAACUUCCCCAAGUUAAUCUAUUGUGUCAAGAAGAACUUGGGGUUGAUACGGCGACACCGCUUCUCCAUGAUUUCCGACCCGGAGGCGUCCCGUUCUUUUUGUAUAAUAUGUAUAUAUGGACAGUUUAAAUAGUAGAUAUUAAGAUGGAAAACAGAAGGGUGGGCUACCGGGUCUCUAGAUGAUAUUUGGGGCUUUUUUAUUGCUUUACUAAUAUCCAAAAUGCGAUUUGAUUUGAUUUUUUUUUCUUUUCAACCCUCUGAUGAUAGUUUUUAGAUAUGUAUUAAAACAUAGAAAAGUUAUUUUCGAUAUUGAAUAUACGUACCUUACAAUUAAAUACGUCGAAAUACAGGGUGGUUUAUAAAUAAAACGAAAAACUGGUUUAGAAAUUUCGAAAAUUGAACGAAUUUGCUAAAUUUAAAUUUUUUUGACGACUUUCUCUAGACAGAGAUUGCAUUGAUCAUAAAAAUCGAUUAUGUAACCUCGAUAAGUUUUAAUUUUAUUAUGAAACGCAAACUUUAUCGAAAGAGGUGAAAUUUGAACCGGCUCGAAGGACCAAUACUCGAAUUGGUACCCGUUUUACGCGAUUACCUUCAUUUUUGGAUCGAAUUUUUUUUUCAAUCAUCCUGUAGAUGCCUUGUUGAAAAUAUACGUAACAAAAUAAAUGGGAAAAUCGUAAAGAAAUCCGUCGUUUAGGGAUCAGUAAGGUACAGCUUCAACUGGUCAACAGAAAAAAUCCAGCCAAUUAUUAUAGAAACUGCAUCGAGAAUUAAAUUAGACAUAGAAUAUUUAUAUAGAGAGAUUCCAUUGUAGGCCUAAAUACGUUUAACAAAAAAAAAUUUUGAUCACACAUCCAUCAAAAUAAUAAGGAAUUGAUUCGAAAAGACGUAGACAUCGCUGGUCGGCCUUGGGACGUUUCAAAAUGCAUGUGGGUCGAGUAAAUUGAUAAUUACAUUCACCCAAAUCAAUGUCAUCCAUAUUUUUAAACAAAAAAUCAUUAAUGUGGCCAUUUUUUAACAAAAUUCGUAUGAUAAUCUCGUGGUUUUCAUUUCUCCAACAGCUCAAUCAUAUACGACUAAAACCCUGGAUCUUUGAGGUAAAUUUUGCUCGUAGUGGACGAUAGAGCCUCAAUUCCUGACGAAAAAACUAAUGAAAAUCAUUAAUGUGGCCAUUUUUAAUCACCCAAUCAACCCACGCAUAUUAUAAUCUGGUGGAUUUGAUUUCUCCAACAGCUCAAUCAUAUACGAUUAAAACCCUGGAUCUUUGAGGUAAAUUUUGCUCGUAGUGGACGAUAGAGCCUCAAUUCCUGACGAAAAAACUAAUGAAAAUCAUUAAUGUGGCCAUUUUUAAUCACCCAAUCAACCCACGCAUAUUAUAAUCUGGUGGAUUUGAUUUCUCCAACAGCUCAAUCAUAUACGACUAAAACCCUGGAUCUUUGAGGUAAAUUUUGCUCGUAGUGGACGAUAGAGCCUCAAUUCCUGACGAAAAAACUAAUGAAAAUCAUUAAUGUGGCCAUUUUUAAUCACCCAAUCAACCCACGCAUAUUAUAAUCUGGUGGAUUUGAUUUCUCCAACAGCUCAAUCAUAUACGAUUAAAACCCUGGAUCUUUGAGGUAAAUUUUGCUCGUAGUGGACGAUAGAGCCUCAAUUCCUGACGAAAAAACUAAUGAAAAUCAUUAAUGUGGCCAUUUUUAAUCACCCAAUCAACCCACGCAUAUUAUAAUCUGGUGGAUUUGAUUUCUCCAACAGCUCAAUCAUAUACGACUAAAACCCUGGAUCUUUGAGGUAAAUUUUGCUCGUAGUGGACGAUAGAGCCUCAAUUCCUGACGAAAAAACUAAUGAAAAUCAUUAAUGUGGCCAUUUUUAAUCACCCAAUCAACCCACGCAUAUUAUAAUCUGGUGGAUUUGAUUUCUCCAACAGCUCAAUCAUAUACGAUUAAAACCCUGGAUCUUUGAGGUAAAUUUUGCUCGUAGUGGACGAUAGAGCCUCAAUUCCUGACGAAAAAACUAAUGAAAAUCAUUAAUGUGGCCAUUUUUAAUCACCCAAUCAACCCACGCAUAUUAUAAUCUGGUGGAUUUGAUUUCUCCAACAGCUCAAUCAUAUACGAUUAAAACCCUGGAUCUUUGAGGUAAAUUUUGCUCCUAGUGGACGAUAGAGCCUCAAUUCCUGACGAAAAAACUAAUGAAAAUCAUUAAUGUGGCCAUUUUUAAUCACCCAAUCAACCCACGCAUAUUAUAAUCUGGUGGAUUUGAUUUCUCCAACAGCUCAAUCAUAUACGAUUAAAACCCUGGAUCUUUGAGGCAAAUUUUGCUCGUAGUGGGCAUUAGAGCCUCAAUUCCUGACGAAAAAACUAAUAAAAAUAAUUAAUGUGGCCAUUUUUAAUCACCCAAUCAACCCACGCAUAUUAUAAUCUGGUGGAUUUGAUUUCUCCAACAGCUCAAUCAUAUACGAUUAAAACCCUGGAUCUUUGAGGUAAAUUUUGCUCCUAGUGGACGAUAGAGCCUCAAUUCAUGGUUCAGAUCAACAAUUAUUGUUUGUUGGUGUGUGAUUAAUUAGUACGAACAUUUCGGCUAGUGAAAUCUAAGGAUUAGCUAUUUAGCUAGAAUUUUUUCCCUCUAUACAAGGGAUUCUCAGUAUUUAUUCACUAGUGUAUAGUGGCCUUGAUGAAGUUUAUACCCAUGCCUAUAUUAUUAUAUUUGUAAUCAAAAUUUGCAGUUACAUACAUAUAAGGUACGUUGUUUGUUUCAAAAUGGAAACCUUUGUACAAUGUAUUUAAUCGAUAUUAUUGGGAAUAAAACGUUUUGAAACUAA